rnacentral:rRNA from 1 species
AGAGUUUGAUCCUGGCUCAGAUUGAACGCUGGCGGCAUGCCUAACACAUGCAAGUCGAACGAGGUGUAGCAAUACAUCUAGUGGCGGACGGGUGAGGAAUACGUAGGAAUUUGCCUUAGAGCGGGGGAUAGCCCAGGGAAACUUGGAGUAAUACCGCAUGAUGUCGAAAGACCAAAGCAGGGGACCGCAAGGCCUUGCACUCUAAGAGAAGCCUACGUCUGAUUAGCUAGUUGGUAGGGUAAUGGCCUACCAAGGCGACGAUCAGUAACUGGUCUGAGAGGACGAUCAGUCACACCGGAACUGAGACACGGUCCGGACUCCUACGGGAGGCAGCAGUGGGGAAUAUUGGACAAUGGGCGCAAGCCUGAUCCAGCAAUGCCGCGUGUGUGAAGAAGGCCUUCGGGUUGUAAAGCACUUUAAGCAGGGAAGAAAAAACUCGGGCUAAUACCUUGAGUCUUGACGGUACCUGAAGAAUAAGCACCGGCUAACUCUGUGCCAGCCGCCGCGGUAAUUC